CAGUAGCCGCGGUAAUACGAAGGGGGCUAGCGUUGUUCGGAUUUACUGGGCGUAAAGGGCGCGUAGGCGGACUGAUAAGUCAGGGAUGAAAUCCCAAGGCUCAACCUUGGAACCGCCUUUGAUACUGUUUGUCUUGAGUUCGAGAGAGGUAAGUGGAACUGCGAGUGUAGAGGUGAAAUUCGUAGAUAUUCGCAAGAACACCAGUGGCGAAGGCGGCUUACUGGCUCGAAACUGACGCUGAGGCGCGAAAGCGUGGGGAGCAAACAGGAUUAGAUACCCGCGUAGUCCCUGUCUCUUAUAC
rnacentral:rRNA from 1 species